rnacentral:pre_miRNA from 1 species
UGGGGAAGGCCGGAUCCUGGGCUGUGUCCCGGCUCCCUGUGUCCCGGCUCCCAGUGCUCCUGGGCCUGCGCUGUUGGAUUCGUGCUCCCGGUGGUGCAGCCCCCU